rnacentral:rRNA from 1 species
GUAGGUGGCAAGCGUUGUCCGGAAUUAUUGGGCGUAAAGCGCGCGCAGGCGGUUCUUUAAGUCUGAUGUGAAAGCCCACGGCUCAACCGUGGAGGGUCAUUGGAAACUGGAGAACUUGAGUACAGAAGAGGAAAGCGGAAUUCCACGUGUAGCGGUGAAAUGCGUAGAGAUGUGGAGGAACACCAGUGGCGAAGGCGGCUUUCUGGUCUGUAACUGACGCUGAGGCGCGAAAGCGUGGGGAGCAAACAGGGAUCAGAUACCCUGGUAGUCCACGCCGUAAACGAUGAGCGCUAAGUGUUAGGGGGUUUCCGCCCCCCUUAGUGCUGCAGCUAACGCAUUAAGCACUCCGCCUGGGAGUACGGCCGCAAGGCUG